rnacentral:rRNA from 1 species
AUUGAACGCUGGCGGCAGGCCUAACACAUGCACGUCGAACGAGUGGCGGACGGGUGAGUAAUGUCUGUGAAACUGCCUGAUGGAGGGGGAUAACUACUGGAAACUGUAGCUAAUACCGCAUACCAUCAGAUUUGCCCAGAUGGGAUUAGCUUGUUGGUGGGGUAACGGCGCACCACGGCGACGAUCCCUAACUGGUCUGAGCGGAUGAGCAGACACACUGGAACUGAGACACGGUCCAGAAUCCUAGGGGAGGCAGCAGUGGGGAAUAUUGGACAAUGGGCGCAAGCCUGAUGCAGCCAUGCCGCGUGUAUGAAGAAGGCCUUCGGGUUGUAAAGUACUUUCAGCGGGGAGGCGUUACCCGCAGAAGAAGCACCGGCUAACUCCGUGCCAGCCGCCGCGGUAAUAC